rnacentral:rRNA from 1 species
AUGGAGCGCUUUGAGGACAUGAUUAGAGAAUUCAUCAAAAGCAACGAAAGGGCAAAGUGGAGACCAGUGAACAAUCCUGGUAUAAAUAACUUCACAGAAGAUGAGAUUAAAAUGAUUACGAAGAACUACAAAAAUCCCAUAGGCAAAGGUGCCUUUGGAGAAGUUUACCGAGGCGUUCUUGAUGAUGGUAGUACAGUUGCAGUCAAGAAAUAUAUCUGCCAGAAUUUGAAAGACGGGUUUGCUAAGGAGAUAUCUGUUCAUUGCCGAAUCAGCCACAAGAAUGUUGUUAGGCUCUUGGGCUACUGUUUAGAAGAAAAUGUUUUAAUGAUUGUCACCGAGUAUAUCCCUGGAGGAAACCUCAAAGGUCUUCUCCAUGGCAGCGAUGAUCACAUUUCUUUGGAUGCAAGGUUGGGUAUUGCUAUAGACUGUGCUGAGGCAUUAGCAUGCAUGCAUUCAUUGCAUCAAUCAAUCAGUCAUGGUGAUAUCAAGCCUGACAACAUACUUCUAGAUGAGAACUUGGGUGCAAAAUUAUCCGACUUUGGAAUAUCAAGGUUGCUUUGCAAGGACGGAACUGCUUACACCAUGCACGUUGCAGGAAGCAGAGGUUACAUGGAUCCAGAGCUCUUUGAAACUGGACGGGUCGAUCCUAGAAAAUGA